GGUUGCUAUGAGCUCUAUGGGGCACUAUAGCUCCCUGUGGGGUCCCUGUGGGGUCCCUGUGGCUCUGUGUGCGUUGCUAUGGGGCAGCCCCCCGUGGGCCGUUUCCCCAGCAGAGCAGAAGCGCGCCCUGCAGGCGCAGCAGGAGGAGCUGCAGCUGCUGGCCAACCAGACGCGCUGCCACCUCCAAGCGCUGGAGCCUCGGCCUGAGGACCAACAAAACCUGGCCUCCAUCAGCGCCCGCGUCCGGCGCACGCAGCACGGCGUCCUCCUGCAGGAGUUCCUGGCCGUGACGUCGAGGCUCCACGCAGCUCAGAGCCACUACAGGCAGCGCUGCCUGCAGCGAGUGCGGCGCCAUCUGCACAUCACUGGGAACUCAGCGGUGACCGAUGAGGAAUUGGAGGAGAUGCUGGAAAGCGGGCAGAGCGAAGUCUUCGUUUCCAACGUCCUCGGGGCGGCUCGGGCCACGCGGGCGGCGUUGGACGAGGUGACGUCGAGGCACCGGGAGCUGCAGCGCCUCGAGAGGGCGAUGAGGGAACUGCAGGAGCUGUUCGGGGCACUGGGAGCCGCUGUGGAGGGGCAGGGUGAGGCCAUCAAUCGCAUCGAGCUGCACAUCCUGCAGUCGGGGACGGCGGUGCACAAAGGGGGGCGACAGCUCAGGGCGGCGCAGGAGCAGCAGGGCAAGGCCAGGAGGGCUCCCCAGGGACCCCUCCGCCCCGUCACGGCCCACGGCCCCCAUAAGUGACAUCACAUCCUGUCCCUAUUUGUGACCUUACCAAGAUGGCGGCGGCGCUGCUCUGCCUGCUGGGCUUCGGGACGGCGGCCGGGGCGACCCUAAAAGCGACAGCGAGCGGCUCGGCGCUGCUCCGCUGUGACUCCGCCCUCCGCGGUUCCCCCCCCUCGUUCCUCCCCCCGCGGUUACGUUGGACGCGUGUGGGCGUGGCCGGGGCUCCCCCCCUCCUCCUAUUGGCUGUCGGCCGAGGGGGCGGGGCUUUGGGGCUGGGGGAAGGCGGGGCUUUGUUGUUGCCGCGCCUCCGCUUCAGCCAAUCGGGGCCGUACUUUUGCCGAGUGGGCGGGACUGAAAGCGGAGCAUUGGUCAACGUGAUUGGAGGAGAGAAGCUUUUUGUAGCCGCUCCCAUUGACUCCAAUGUGACGCUGCGCUGCCCCGUGGCCACGCCCCCCGCCGAAGCCACGCCCACAAACGGGACGCAAGCCACGCCCCCCGACGAACCCACGCCCCUUCGAGCCGCGGCCCCUCGCCAAGCCACGCCCCCGCGCCAAGCCACGCCCACCGCUCAGUGGUUCCACAAUGGGCGGCCCCUCCCGUUGGGGGAGUGGACGGAAGGGGCGGGGCUUAACUUGGGACCAAUGAGAAGGGAGCACGUGGGUCGGUACGAUUGCGCGAUUGGAGAACGGGCCGGAACCGUUCACGUGAUGUUGGGAGCUCUGCCAUCCCUUCGGGCCGCCCCGGGUUCCGUUCUGCAGCUCCCGUGCCUCCCAUCCCCGCCCCCUGCCCCAAAAAAACCUCCACCAUCCCGAGUCACGUGGUUCCGCGGCAACUUCCGGGGCGGGACUUCCGGUCCCCCUAUUUUAAACGGUUGGGCGGCACCGGGUUCGGGUUUGGGUCCCAUGGGAGGACUGCACCUAUGGGGGCUGCGGAAGUCCCAAAGUGGGCGGUACCGUUGCGAGUGGGCGGGGCUUCCGGGACACGCCGACAAUGCGAGCCACGCCCCCGAUAGAAACAACGCCCAACCCGGCGUUCGCACCCCCGACCGAAGCCACGCCCACCCCGGUAGCCACGCCCCCGACCGAAGCCACG